UAUAAGAGGUCAUGCCUGCCCAGUGACUCUGUUCAACGGCCGCGGUAUCCUAACCGUGCGAAGGUAGCGUAAUCACUUGUUCUUUAAAUGAGGACUAGUAUGAAUGGCCCCACGAAGACUACACUGUCUCCUUUUUCUAAUCAAUGAAACUAAUCUUCUCGUGAAGAAGCGAGAAUAAUUUUAUAAGACGAGAAGACCCUAUGGAGCUUUAAACAACUGAAAUAUUUGCUUUUAUAUUCCAUUCUCCAGAGUUCGCUAUUAUAUCCAAGCAUUUUAAUUUCUAGUUUUAGGUUGGGGUGACCACGGAGUAAAAUUCAACCUCCAUGACGAACUAAGCAUUUUUCCUCUAAGCCACAAGCUACCUCUUUAAGCAUCAACAAAUUGACUUACAUUGACCCAAUAUUUUGAUCAACGAACCAAGUUACCCUAGGGAUAACAGCGCAAUCUACUUCAAGAGCUCAUAUCGACAAGUAGGUUACGACCUCGAUGUUGGAUCAGGGUGUCCUGGUGGUGCAGCCGCUACUAA
rnacentral:rRNA from 1 species